GGCUCAGGAUGAACGCUGGCGGCGUGCCUAACACAUGCAAGUCGAACGAAGAGGCCCCUUCGGGGGUACUUCAGUGGCGGACGGGUGAGUAACACGUAGGUGACCUGCCCCGAAGUGUGGAAUAACAGUCCGAAAGGAUUGCUAAUACCGCAUGUGGUCUGUGAGGUUAGAGUCUUGCAGACUAAAACAUACCCGCAAGGGUAAUGCGCUUCGGGAGGGGCCUGCGCCCCAUCAGCUAGUUGGUAGGGUAAUGGCCUACCAAGGCAACAACGGGUAGGGGGCCUGAGAGGGUGACCCCCCACAUUGGCACUGACACACGGGCCAAACUCCUACGGGAGGCAGCAGUGAGGAAUAUUGCUCAAUGGGCGAAAGCCUGAAGCAGCAACGCCGCGUGCGCGAUGAAGGCCUUCGGGUCGUAAAGCGCUUUUGAGAGGGACGAGAUAGGACGGUACCUCUCGAAUAAGUCACGGCUAACUACGUGCCAGCAGCCGCGGUAAAACGUAGGUGGCAAGCGUUAUCCGGAUUCACUGGGCGUAAAGCGCGUGCAGGUGGCUUCGUAAGUUGGACGUUAAAUCUCCCGGCCUAACCGGGAGGAGUCGUUCAAUACUGCGGGGCUGGAGGGCAGAAGAGGGGGGUGGAAUUGCUGGUGUAGUGGUGAAAUGCGUAGAUAUCAGCAGGAACACCCGUGGCGAAAGCGGCCCCCUGGUCUGCUCCUGACACUCAGACGCGAAAGCUAGGGGAGUGAACGGGAUUAGAAACCCCGGUAAUCCUAGCCGUAAACGAUGGAUGCUAGGUGUGGGUGGUAUUGACCCCAUCCGUGCCGAAGCUAACGCGUUAAGCAUCCCGCCUGGGGACUA
rnacentral:rRNA from 1 species